rnacentral:piRNA from 1 species
UUAAGCCUUACGGGAGACUCUGCCCUCA